AAUAUUUUGAAAUAUUUUUCGCGUUUUCCGUUAAAAAUCAUCGGAUAUUGUUACGCAAUCGACCGGAAGUAAACUGGUGACUGCGGCUUUAAGAACAUAAAGUACGUCACAUACGUCACGCAACCUAGAUCGACAUUGUCACGACCACAAAUCCCUAACAGAAGACCCCGGAAAGCAAACGCUUUAUUUAUGUUUGCUCGCCUAGUUGUGAUAUCGGUAAUUGUUUAACACUGAUUGGAUAUAUUUGCAUUCGAUCAAAGGUAUUGCCUUCUUCUACGAUCAGGUGAAUAACAACAUUGCAAUUGCAGAGUCCGAUACUUAUCAUUCUUCGUGAAGGCAGUGCUGAUACGCAGCGAUAUUUUAUCACAGUCGGGAACUUUGGCACAGGUUCUCCGUUUUGCAAACAUCGAUACUAGAACUGCGUCCCAUUAAGACUUUGACAGAACUCUAUUAUGACAGUAUGGCCCGUGUGGAUCUCAAGAUUAUUUGUUUGCUCAUUUGCAUACUCGUAGUGGUCUCGUACUUUGCCGAUGCCGAACCGUCAUCACGCCGUAGAUCCAACUCACGCCGUCGGACAAUCUCAACACGUCGGCGCUCUUUGUCUCGGAGACGCCGCUCAAGUUCGGGUGCUGUUGUCGGUGGUUCCACCAGAACAGGCACCAUCGCCGGAGCAGUCUUUGGUACCUUGAUUGGUAUUGCAGUUCUCAUUGCCGCCUUUAUCUGCUGCCGAAAACACUUCUGUCGCACUAACCCGAAUACCAUCUCAAACAACGCUAGUGCUCAUUAUUUGCACACCAACCAAGCGCAUGAAAACAGUGGCAGUGGCAGUAACGAAUCAGCACCAGAAGUUGAUUUUAAGGGUCGUGAUUUGGGCUCACGAGAAGGCGCUCCGCCAGAUUACAACGCAGUGACCGGAAAUCAUCCAUACCUACCUCCUUAUGACGCCUCGGCCGCAGCCUACCCCCCUCAGAACACAAAUACUCCCUACCCACCCCUAGAGCCUAGCGCUGGAUUGCCCUACCCUCCCCAGGGAGCAACAGCAUCACCGUACCCCCCUGCGGAUAAUUCAGCUCCCUUCUUGCACCCCAUUCAGAGCGAUUCUGGCGCUCAAGGUCUGCCGCCUCCACCGACAUAUGAAGAUAGUCAGAAAAAGCUUGAGUAGGUCUGUCUGCCACUUUUUGUCAAUAUAACAAGUGUGAGAAAGGAUCCAUUUCCGUCGGCUGUCUUCGGAAAGCAAUUGCGGUAUUUUCGAAUGAAUUAAAUGAAGUAAAUGAAGUAUUAACGUAUGGUUAACAAAUGUGUGGCGGAUAAGGGUCUUUAUUUGUAAAAGAAAAAAUGAACUGUCGUAAAAUACGAAAUGAGUAUUCUACCAGCGGCGUAGCCAAGAUUUUUAACAGGAGGGGGCCCAAAAGGCCCUUUCAAGGCAUUUUCUUCUGUAUUUUAGAUAAUGUCUCAUACUUUUACUGUAUUACUGCUGGUAGAAGGGGGGCCCAGGCCCCCUGGGCCGCCCCCCUGGUUACGCCCCUCUCUACUCAUCUUGAUACUGCAAAAUCGUCGCAAAGUGAGAGAGGAGAGUGCCCCGGUGAUUCAAGAAGACUUAGCAAUUAUGUCGUCACUGGUCAAACCGAAACAGGGUAAUCCUUUACCACCACAUCAGGAUUCUCUCCGCCUGGCGAAUGACUUUCGGGGAGUUUUUCUGCAAGAAGAUUCAAAUCAACAAAGACGGCUUAACUGAGAUAGCGCCUUCUGUUGUAAAGCCAGUUGCAAUUACAAGUAGUCCCCUUUCAAAACUUGAUAACUUCAAACCACGUCCAGAAGAUGAGAUACACAAAAUUGUUAUGUCUUCCUUCCGUGCAACGUGUCGCCUGGAUCCAAUUCCUACCCGGAUUUUGAAGCAAUGUGCCGAGGUCCUCGUCCCCAUCAUCACCAAAUCAUUAACUCGUCGAUAGGUGAAGGAAGAGUUACCGAUCGCUGGAAGACUGUGCAUGUUAUACCGCUGCUAAAGAAACCUCGGCCUGGACCUUAUCUUUAAGAACUUUCGUCCUGUCAGCAAUCUACCAUUCAUUGCGAAGACGACUGAGAGGGUGGUCAUUGAUCAACUGCUCUCACAUUGCGAAGUACAUGCACCUUUUCCAGAUUACCAGUCAUCAUAUCGUCAAGGCUACUCGACGGAGACGGCACUCCUUAAGUCCACAACGACGUAUUAAUGGCCAUGGACAGACAGGAGGUCAUGCUGUUAGUGCUACUGGAUCUAUGUGCGGCAUUCGACACCAUCAAACACAACAUCUUGCUCGAAAUCCUUAGCACGAACUUUGGUCGGGAAUGCAAAGAAGUGGAUCGAUUCUUUCCUUGCUAGAAGACAGCAGCAAAUUGUCAUAAACAACACGUCAGUUUAAAGCUUCAGUCUUGAAUGUGGUGUUCCUUAAGGUAGUUGUCUUAAUCCUAUUCUCUUUUGUAUAUGCGAGUGGCAUUUUCAACAUCAUCAAUCAACACCUCCCAAACGCACAUGGGUAUGCCGAUGACACACAGAUUUAUCUCUCCUUCAAGCCGUCACAUCCAUCAGGUCAAGAAGAUACAUUGAGGGCAAUCGAGAAAUGCAUAUCUGAAGUACGUGCUUGGAUGAUUAGUCAUCGCCUAAAAAUAAACGACCCCAAGCCAGAAUUCUUGGUAAUUGGCUCACGCCAACAGCUGGAGAAGGUCGAUAUAAACUCGGUUUCAGUCGGUAUGUCGGAAAUCAAACCAGAAUCAGAAGUGAGGAACCUGGGUGCUUGGUUUGACAAGAACAUGAGCAUGGAUGCACAUGUCAGCGAGGUGUGCAGCAAGGCUUUCCGUGGCUUAUACUCUAUUCAACAAAUACAAAAGUACUUGAAUAAAAACGCCUGUAAAAUUUUGAUCCAUGCCUUUGUUACGACACAUCUAGACUACUGAAACUCAAUCCUUUUCAAGAUCCCUGAAUACCAAAUCAAUCGUCUCCAGCGGAUCCUCAAUGCUGCUGCGCGUGUUGUACAACUAGAACCUAAGUUUGAUCACAUCACACCCGUCCUGACUCACUUACACUGGCUACCUGUGGAAUUCAGGAUACAGUUCAAGAUUCUGCUUUAUGUUCACCACAGCAUUAAUGGCAACGCUUCCUCCUAUCUGAAGUCCCUUAUCAACUGCAGUCGCUCUUCCUAUAACCUCAGAUCAAACACCGCUAACUUCCUGGUAAUCCCAAAGACUAGAUGCAAAACCCUAGGAGACAGGGCAUUCGCACAUGCCGGUCCAGAACUAUGGAACAAUUUGCCUAUUAUCAUCAGCCGGAUAUGAGGACUAACCCCUUUUAAACAAACGCUCAAGACGCAUCUGUACCGCCUAGCCUACAAUGUUUAAUAUUUCAUUUUUAUGAAACUUUUUGUUACCUUGAUUCUUUAUUUUUAUUUAACGGGGGGGGGGGGGGGGAGGGCUGCUAUGUUUGGGGGGAAGGUUGCAAUUUUUUGAGCGCCGAAUUGGGGGAGGGCCUCAAAACCUUUAUAGGUUUUUCAAUCCUGCUCUGAACCUGAAAUAUUGGUCAGAACACUAUCGUAACACAUUCUGAAAACAGCGACAUCCAGGCCAUCAGCUUCCUUUUUUUCUCGGGGAAGGGCCGGUCGCCUUUUUGGGGGAGAGUCACCAUUUUGGGGCUUUAAAUGGGGGGGCGGGCGAAAUUUUUGAACCGGAAAAAAAAUCAACUUAGCAGCCCUCCCCUGAUAAAUAAUGUCCUUUCCCAGGGGCUCAUAAGUAGGGGCAAUCAACUUCCCCACAUUCUGGUACUAUAUAGGUGCCUUACUCUUGCAAAAAAUAAGUGAUUAUUUGUAUCGAUCUCGAAAUUUUGUCGCUGAGAGGCGAUAUUAUCAUUCUUAAGGUUUUUGAUACUGCUAGUUAACUAACAAUAGUCUUGCUUUGCAAGAGCAAGAAAAAUGUCCUCGUAACAACGUUUGAGUCCCCUUAUGGAGAAAUAAAUAGUCCAAGGUUAGUAACAGAAUGUUUCUUUCUCUGCGACAAAAAGGAUUCAGAAAUAAGAAGGCAUAUGACGACGUAGGAAGACUUUGAAAAGCAAGCGUCGUUUUUCCCCUUCUCGGCCGCCAUUUUGGAUUCCUUGAGACAAAGUCAAUUUUUCCGCCCUGUCAUCGCGCGUCUAAAAAUCGCCUGAUCCUAGGAAACGCCGUGACACCUACAUAGUACCAGGAUGUGGGGAAGUUGAUUGCCCCUACUUAUGAGCCCCUGCUUUCCCUAAAAAGUGUUCAGAUUGUGUGUGCAAUAAAAAAGUGUGAUUUUAUUUUUAAAAAAUCGCCGUUUUCUUUUUCAAUACAUAUUCUUGUUGGGGUUCUUUGUUUUCUAUUAUGAUAACACAAGAACAUCCGCUUUUGCUGUUAGAUAAAAAAUAUUAUGCAUUGGGAUAUAGAUAUGAUAGUAGCCAUGUUGUUUUGUGGGCUUUUUUUCUUUUAAAAUGCUCCAGCUUGCAAUCGUUUGAUUUAUAUUCCUCAUAAUUUCAUUUUACUGUACUAGAAACUGGGCUUGUUGUGGGUACAGUACUUAUUAUUAAUUAAUUAAUUAAUUAAUUAAUUAAUUGAUUGAUUGAUUAAUUAAUUAAUCAAUUAUUUAAUUUAUGGCUUCUACCACUAUAACAGUAGAAGCUAACUGAAAAGUAUAUUUCCUUCAUUCCCCCUUUUUUUUCAGUGCACCCUUUCGUAUCUCCUAUAAUUGGAAAUUUAUUUAUAGCUUGUGUAGACCGACGAUAUGAACAACAUUUUGAAAUGAAAAAGUAGGGUUCACUUAGAUGUGUUUUGUUUUUCACCUGUAUGACCAGCUAAAUAAAAAAUAAUUCUAAUCAAAA